CUGAGGGACGCAGAAAGAUAGGGUAAGCGCGCUGCUGGAUAUGCGCGUCCAAGCAAUUAGGCUGAUGUGUAGGCAAAUCCGCACAUCAUAAGGCUGAGUUGUGAUGGCGAGGGAAAUAUAGUACCGAAGUUCCUGAUUCUACACUGCCAAGAAAAGCUUCUAGCGAGGAAAUAGGUGCCUGUACCGCAAACCGACACAGGUAGGCGAGGAGAGAAUCCUAAGGUGAGCGAGAGAACUAUGGUUAAGGAACUCGGCAAAAUGACCCCGUAACUUCGGGAGAAGGGGUGCUCUUUUGGGUGCAAGCCCGGGAGAGCCGCAGUGAAAAGGCCCAAGCGACUGUUUAGCAAAAACACAGGUCUCUGCGAAGCCGCAAGGCGAAGUAUAGGGGCUGACGCCUGCCCGGUGCUGGAAGGUUAAGAGGAGGGGUUAUCCCUUACGGGAGAAGCUCUGAAUUGAAGCCCCAGUAAACGGCGGCCGUAACGAUAACGGUCCUAAGGUAGCGAAAUUCCUUGUCGGGUAAGUUCCGACCCGCACGAAAGGCGUAACGAUUUGGGCACUGUCUCAACCAUAGACUCGGUGAAAUUAUAGUACCUGUGAAGAUGCAGGUUAUCCGCGACAGGACGGAAAGACCCCGUGGAGCUUUACUGCAGCUUGAUAUUGAAUUUUGGUACAGCUUGUACAGGAUAGGUAGGAGCCUGAGAAGCCGGAGCGCCAGCUUCGGUGGAGGCGUCGGUGGGAUACUACCCUGGCUGUAUUGAAAUUCUAACCUAGAGCCGUUAUCCGGCUCGGAGACAGUGUCAGGUGGGCAGUUUGACUGGGGCGGUCGCCUCCUAAAGAGUAACGGAGGCGCCCAAAGGUUCCCUCAGAAUGGUUGGAAAUCAUUCGAAGAGUGUAAAGGCAUAAGGGAGCUUGACUGCGAGACCUACAAGUCGAGCAGGGACGAAAGUCGGGCUUAGUGAUCCGGUGGUUCCGCAUGGAAGGGCCAUCGCUCAACGGAUAAAAGCUACCCCGGGGAUAACAGGCUUAUCUCCCCCAAGAGUCCACAUCGACGGGGAGGUUUGGCACCUCGAUGUCGGCUCAUCGCAUCCUGGGGCUGUAGUUGUCCCAAGGGUUGGGCUGUUCGCCCAUUAAAGCGGUACGCGAGCUGGGUUCAGAACGUCGUGAGACAGUUCGGUCCCUAUCCGUCGUGGGCGCAGGAAAUUUGAGAGGAGCUGUCCUUAGUACGAGAGGACCGGGAUGGACACACCGCUGGUGUACCAGUUGUUCUGCCAAGAGCAUGGCUGGGUAGCUAUGUGUGGAAGGGAUAAGUGCUGAAAGCAUCUAAGCAUGAAGCCCCCCUCAAGAUGAGAUUUCCCAUAGCGUUAAGCUAGUAAGACCCCUGAGAGAUGAUCAGGUUGAUAGGUCAGAGGUGGAAGCGUGGUGACACGUGGAGCUGACUGAUACUAAUCGGUCGAGGACUUAAC
rnacentral:rRNA from 1 species